AAUUAUUAAAGGGCCGCGGUAUCUCUGACCGUGCGAAGGUAGCAUAAUCAUUAGUCUUUUAAUUGGAGGCUUGUAUGAAAGGUCGAACGAGUGAUAAACUGUCUUAACAAAAAAUACUGAAAUUAACUUUAAAGUGAAAAGGCUUUAAUAUAUUAGAAAGACGAUAAGACCCUAUAAAUCGUUUUGUUGGGGCAACAAAGAUAUAAAAAAUAACUGUUUUUCUUUACAUACAAAAAUUUUUGGAUUGAUCCUUUUUAAAGAUUAAAAGAUUAAGUUACUUUAGGGAUAACAGCGUCAUUUUUCUUGAGAGCCCUCAUCGAAAGAAAAGUUUGCGACCUCGAUGUUGAAUUAAAAUUUCUUCAUAGUGCAGCAGCUAUGAAAGAAAGUCUGUUCGACUUUUAAAAUUUU
rnacentral:rRNA from 1 species